GUGAGGAAUUUUGCGCAAUGGGGGUAACCCUGACGCAGCAACGCCGCGUGAGUGAUGAAGGCCUUCGGGUCGUAAAGCUCUGUCAAGUGGGAAGAACCUGUGAGGUGCUAAUAUCAUCUUGCAUUGACGGUACCACUGAAGGAAGCACCGGCUAACUCCGUGCCAGCAGCCGCGGUAAUACGGGGGGUGCAAGCGUUAUUCGGAAUCAUUGGGCGUAAAGCGCGCGUAGGCGGCCAGUUAAGUCAGAUGUGAAAUCCCGGGGCUUAACCCCGGAAGUGCAUUUGAAACUGGUUGGCUUGAGUAUGGGAGAGGGAAGUGGAAUUCCUGGUGUAGAGGUGAAAUUCGUAGAUAUCAGGAGGAACACCGGUGGCGAAGGCGACUUCCUGGACCAAUACUGACGCUGAGGCGCGAAGGCGUGGGUAGCAAACAGGAUUAGAUACCCCAGUAGUCC
rnacentral:rRNA from 1 species